GACGAACGCUGGCGGCGUGCUUAACACAUGCAAGUCGAGCGGUAAGGCCCAGCUUGCUGGGUACACGAGCGGCGAACGGGUGAGUAACACGUGGGUGACCUGCCCCGCACUUCGGGAUAAGCCUGGGAAACUGGGUCUAAUACCGGAUGUUCACAUGGUCUCGCAUGGGAUGGUGUGGAAAGUUUUUUCGGUGUGGGAUGGGCCCGCGGCCUAUCAGCUUGUUGGUGGGUGAUGGCCUACCAAGGCGG
rnacentral:rRNA from 1 species